AACUGGCUAAGGUCGGCAGAACCACUCACCCCCGCCAGAUUCAGGCGUACGCCAUCAAUUAACACCAACACAUGACUGGCAUUUGUACCGCGAAUAAAAAUAGAUGAGAG
rnacentral:antisense_RNA from 1 species